AUUGAACGCUGGCGGCAGGCCUAACACAUGCAAGUCGAACGAGUGGCGGACGGGUGAGUAAUGUCUGGGAAACUGCCUGAUGGAGGGGGAUAACUACUGGAAACGGUAGCUAAUACCGCAUACCAUCGGAUGUGCCCAGAUGGGAUUAGCUAGUAGGUGGGGUAAAGGCUCACCUAGGCGACGAUCCCUAGCUGGUCUGAGAGGAUGAACGGCCACACUGGAACUGAGACACGGCCCAGAUCCCUACGGGAGGAAGCAGUGGGGAAUAUUGCACAAGGGACGCAAGCCUGAUGAGGCCAUGCGGCGUGGAUGAAGAAGGCCUUCGGGUGGUAAAAUACUUUCAUCGGGGAGGCGGUACCCGCAGAAGAAGCCCCGGCUAACUCCGUGCCAGCCGCCGCGGUAAUAC
rnacentral:rRNA from 1 species